GUGAACAGUUCCUUCUGUAUGAACAGUGCCCAUGUGUGAACGGUUCCCAGGUGUGAACAGUUCCUUCUGUAUGAACAGUUCCAGGUGUGAACAGUUCCCGGAGGAGCCGCAGCCAGAGCUGCUUUAUUGUGGAAUGGUUCUGAAUAGUCAUUUUAUUUAUUAAAAUCAACAUUGCUUAACAAAAUAAUUAUUAAACUAGCAAAACUAUUGAAUGUAUUUCACUUAAAGAUCAAAAGCAAAGUAACAUUUCAAAGCCAGAUGGUUUAUAUCAUUUAAUGAUCAAACUCAAACUGAAUAAAUGGACUUAAAAACUGCUACACUGAGAGAUUAAAGAACCAGAACCAAAUAAGAUGAGGUGAUCCAGAACCA